CGUAGGGUGCGAGCGUUGUCCGGAAUUACUGGGCGUAAAGAGCUCGUAGGUGGUUUGUCGCGUUGUUCGUGAAAACUCACAACUCAAUUGUGGGCGUGCGGGCGAUACGGGCAGACUGGAGUACUGCAGGGGAGACUGGAAUUCCUGGUGUAGCGGUGGAAUGCGCAGAUAUCAGGAGGAACACCGGUGGCGAAGGCGGGUCUCUGGGCAGUAACUGACGCUGAGGAGCGAAAGCGUGGGGAGCGAACAGGAUUAGAUACCCUGGUAGUCCACGCCGUAAACGGUGGGUACUAGGUGUGGGUUUCCUUCCUUGGGAUCCGUGCCGUAGCUAACGCAUUAAGUACCCCGCCUGGGGAGUACGGCCGCAAGGCUA
rnacentral:rRNA from 1 species